AGUUUUAAGAUCAGAUCUUAUGCAUGUAUUUAUAGAUUAAAUAGUUUAAUCUAAUGUUCUUUCAUUAAAAAUUUUGAAAUGCAUGCAUAAAACCCCUACGCGAUCCAACUCACUCACAUCCUUAUAUUAGUGUCGCAACAUAAGUGGUUAUGAGAUUAACCACCCACACCAUUGAGCAUACAUAAGAUGUGCCAGCCUUAUCG
rnacentral:lncRNA from 1 species